rnacentral:rRNA from 1 species
UACGUAGGGUGCGAGCGUUGUCCGGAAUUACUGGGCGUAAAGCGCACGCAGGUGGCUGAGUCAGUCGAUUGUGAAAGCCCUGGGCUUAACCUGGGAAUUGCAGUCGAUACUACUCAGCUAGAGUAUGGGAGAGGGCAGUGGAAUUCCCGGUGUAGCGGUGAAAUGCGCAGAUAUCAGGAGGAACACCAAUUGCGAAGGCAGCUCGCUGGGACGUUACUGACGCUGAGACGCGAAAGCGUGGGGAGCAAACAGG